UUUUCUCCUGCUGAUCAGGGUUAAUCUAUGAGUUUUGGAUCUGGGUUUUUAUGGGUUUAAUGGUUUCUUCUGCUUAUUCAAUUUUUUAGAUGUGUGUGUGGCAGCAUUAUUGGGCAUAUGAAAUGCAUUUCUUUGUGCAUCAAAAGUGACUUAGAUCGGAGUGACAGUAUGCUUUUGUAUUGAAAGUAAAUAUAACCACCCCAUUGUGCUUUAGGAAGCAGUUGAACACUUUUUUAGUUGGUUUUUUACAGUGGGAGUCAAUUGGAAUGUUAUAAGUUUAUAACCGUGGAUUAUGGGACUUUGAGCUUCAGUGGAUCAUUUGCACCGGAUCAAACAAUUCCCUUUGUUCCUGAUUCUGCAAACUUGCUUGGGCGGCCAUCGAUUUACCACAUUUGGAGAGGAAGAAUCUGAAGCUUUAUGAAAAGACCCAGAUUGAUUUUUAAAUUCUUGUAACUUUGUAAGCUAGGUUUUAUUUGAUGUUGAGGGAAGGUUAUGAAAGUUGAGGGAAAAGACUAUACUAGUAGACUUUGAGCUAAAUGGGUUUUAAUUUCUACCCUGUUAGCUUGACUUUGUAAUUUUUCUGCCUGUUCUAAAAUAUACUGGCUAACUACUAUUAAAAACAGGUUAAAAGAAUGAUGAGGUUUAUUGAAA